AUUAUAAUAGCAUAUUGUUUUUUAAUUAACUAGUAUAUAGUCUUUCAUUCAUUUACUUACUUAUCUUAAGAAUAAUCAAGUAUAAAAAACGUUUAAAGUUAAAAAUAGUUUUGAUCUUUACUAGUGUGAUUCUAUCGCCAAGUUUUUUGAAUGUGAUCAAUCAUUUCUCGAUACAAAUGUUGCAAAAAAAAUAUAAGUUAUUAAAUGAUGGUAGCUCAUCAUGCAGUGCAUUUGAGAAGGGCAUGCUUUCAAAGGUUAAGACUGCUCCCCUGAUUCCUACAGCAAAAAA